rnacentral:lncRNA from 1 species
UCACGAGUCCGAAGAAUCCCCUCGAGCACAGGAAGAAGAAAACCCAAACAAACCGAGCGAAAAAUCCAACCUUUCCUUCGAUUCAGCAGCUCUCGAUUCCGCGGAGAACAGCCAUGGCCUCCGAGUCCACCAACAACGACGCCCCGAUCGCCAACAACAACCAGCCCACCGCGGUAAGAGAUGGCCUGUUCUUGGAUUUCCCCCCGAUUCGCUUCGGUUUGUUGCGGUUCCUCGGGGUGCUGAUUUGAUUUCCGUGCGCGCAGGAGGAGGAGGUGAGGGUUGAGAAGGCGGCGACGACCCAGGAGGAGGAGGAGAGGCUGCGCUACCUCGAGUUCGUGCAGCAGGCGGCGGCGCAGGCGCUGGUGCUGGCGGCCGCGGCGUACGCGUACGCCAAGCAGGGCGCGGGGCCGCUCCGCCCCGGGGUCGACCACGUCGAGGGAACCGUCAAGGCCGUCGUCGGGCCCGUCUACGACCGCUUCCACGCCGUCCCGCUCGACCUCCUCAAGUUCCUCGACCGCAAGGUAAGGAGGAGGGCAUUUCUUUGUUGUCUGUUUUAAUUCAUCUUGGUCAAAUUUGAUCGCCUGACGUGAUUGGGAGCGAGAAAUUGGUUGUUGAGUUUCAUUCUGCGUGGUGUACUGGUGUGUGACCCCAAAUUUGUAGGUUUCAGGAUGAAAUUUGUACAAUUAACAUGUUAGAACGUUUUGGAUGCAUGGUUUGCAGUUUCUUCAGAGACUUAGUUUCAGGGUGCUGGGGUUUAGUUAGUUCUUUAGAGGUGUGCAUGAUUGAAUCAACCUAGCACAAGUUAAGUUAUGGUUCCUGAUAAAAGAAUACGAUGCAGAAUCUAACAACCUUGCAGCUUGAUACAAUUGGCAGGCAGUUUUGCCCUCUGAAUUAGACAACCUUUUUUAUUUAUUGAUUUAUUUGAAUUAGACAACCUAUAGAGUUGAAUCAGACAAUCCUGACUUCUGAGACUUCAAUACCACAAACACCGAGACUAUGGAAUACCUUUUAUGCAUUGUACAUGUGCAGAUUCAUGUGGUUCAUGGUCAUGAAUGAUAGCUAUGCAAUUUAGCCGUGAUGCUGACUCACUUCAUGGUUAAGGAAAAUUAACAUUUUUCAGUAAUGCUAUAAAUUUGGUCACGGUGAUCAGAUAUUAUGUUGUGGUCAGUCUAUUCACUAUUCAGGAACUAUAUUUUUUUCAGUAGGAAAAAUUUACGCCUGAAGUUGUUGCAUUUUGUUUGAGACUACUAAUGCAGUUGGCCCUUGCAGGUUGGUGAGUCUGUUGAGGAAAUCGACCGCCGCGUCCCUCCAGUGGUGAAGGAAGCCCCCACCCUCGCCCGCUCUGCUGCCAAGGAGGUCCGCCAGGCCGGUCUGGUGGGCACAGCCACUGGCCUCGCCAAGUCUGCCAUCGCUCGUGCUGAGCCCAAGGCCAGGGAGCUCUACACCCGCUACGAGCCCGUGGCAGAGCGCCGCGCCGCGGAGGCCUGGGUGGCCCUGAACCGCCUCCCACUGGUGCCCUCGGUGACCAGGGCGGUCCUCCCCACUGCUGCGCAGCUGUCGGCCAAGUACAACUCCGCGGUGCGCGACGGUGCCAAGCGCGGGAGCACCGUGGCCACCUACCUCCCGCUGGUGCCCACCGAGCGGCUCGCCCGGGUGUUCCCGUACCCCACGGCAGACACUGCCCCGGCGCCGGAGAUGCAGCCCAUCCCGUCGCAGUAGAAGAUGAGAGUUGGACCACCUGCCUCGGAAUUGCAUCAACGAUUAUCAAU